GCUGAUCUGAUUUCAGUUGAAGAAGAGAUUGAGUGUUUCCUUAUUCUGAGUGAUACUUGUUCCUUGCAGAAAGCCAGGCAGAGUGGUCAAAGGAGGAAGCAAGCUCAAAGCUGCACUGCUCACUGCUGUUAAUGAGACUGCUCUGAGUGAAUGGAUCCUGCAUUUACAAUGAGCGUUUACGCGAGUGAUGAUUGAAGAUUCAAGCUCUUGUUUGGCUUCUCUCUCUCUGUCAGGUACACUCAUUUUGUUCCUCUGUAUCAAUGUCCAACUCUUCUACAAGGCAACAAUGACUUCUGUGUCAGAGAUUUCUCCUGGAGUGAAAGGUAUGGCUGGAGUCUGCGUUCUGGUGGAGGAGAAGCUCCUGAGGCUGCCAUCCCUGCAACCUGGGGGGGGGGGGGGACCGUAA